CAAGUGGGAUAAAUGGUGGCGUGGGGAAACCCACGAGGAAAGUCCGGGCUUCAAAGGGCAGGAUGCCGGAUAACGUCCGGUGGAGGCGACUCCAAGGCCAGUGCAACAGAAAUAUACCGCCGUCUUUAUGACGGUAAGGGUGGAAGGGCGGUGUAAGAGACCACCGCUUUUGCGGUAACGCAGAAGGCACAUGUAAACCCCAUCCGAAGCAAGACCAAAGAGAACCGUAAGGUUCGUGAAAGCAACAGGCUUGCCCGGUCUGCUUUCAGGUAGGUCGCUUGAGGCUGCCGGUAACGGCAGUCCUAGAUAGAUCACCAUUCACGACAUAACCCGGCUUAUCGUCCCGCUUGCAUU
rnacentral:RNase_P_RNA from 2 species